UACGUCCCCCAGAAGGCCUCGCGGCGCAAGGCGGAGUUGAGGCCUGGCGCCAGCUCCAGCGGCGCGAGCGGAAGAGAUGGAGCUUCGGUGAGGCGGCGGAAGAGGAGGUCGACGACAUCCCGGUAACCACCACAAUUGAGGUGAUGCCAUGCAGGAAGAAGUGGAGAGAUGCAGAGGUCGAGCCAAAAGGCCUGACAUGGCACUUUAUGUACCUAAAGCUCGUAGGGGUACAGUACUCCCCAAGACAGGUGAUAAGGAAAAAAGCUGUGGUCCGCCUAACUCUGUGGUAAAAGAACAACCAAAAGAAGGUUGUCGUUCCCAAAAGGAGAUCUUUGAAGACAAACUUGAGGCUCAGAGACUAAAUAUUAACCCUGAUAAGAAGCAGCAUAAUUGUAGAGAAGGGAAGAAAUCUUCAACAAAAUUAAGAAAAGACACAUGCCUUCAUAAAAGGAAUAAAGACAGGGUUUAUACUAAGAGAGGACUCACAAUAUCCAAUGAAGUAUUAUCCCAAGAACAUCAGCAAAGAGUCCCAAAUUCUGAGAUUAUGCCUAGAGUGCCUUUACAGAGAUAUUUUAAACCAAAGACAAUGGAAUGUUUAGAGGUUCACAAUACAGAUGUGACAGCAUAUGAAGGAAUACUUCUAUCACAGUCUUGUUCAAAAAUUAGUGAGGCUAAUCAGGUUCUAAGCAGACCAUUUCAGAAUGUAGAAUUCUGUGAUUUUAGUAGACAUGACCUAAGUGGGGAAAAUUUUGAAGACAAAGAUUUGGGAAGCCGAAUUAAAACUGAUACCAAAGUUGUGGAGAUAAUAACCCAGUUUCCUAGAGAUUUUACUGCUGGAUUAAAACCUGAGAGUGUGAUUGCACCAGCAGAACUAUGCUUGGAUUCUGAACUUACACAGCAAAGUGUGCAAAUACAAGAUGGAACAUUGAAGCCCAGCAAUGAAAGCAUCACUGCUAUUUCUGUUUCUGGAAGUCCAGAUAUUGUCAUUGAUCAGACUUGUGUAGACUUUGAAGUUGAGAAUGUAGGUGGUAUAGCCAACAGUUCAGGUUUCAGCUUGGAUUGGAAAGGUAUAGAUUCUAUUCCUGAGACUAUGGGUCACAUCUCUCAUAAAAUGACUACGGUCAGCAAAUUAGAGCACACAAAUGGCAUUGAUCUAACAAUGAUUAGAGGACGUGAGGAGAAUGGCAGCACUGCUGAUGGGUUAUGUAGAAAGGAUGAACCUUCUGAUACAGCGGUCCUUGCUUGUGAAGCGGAUAAUGGAUCUAAGAGUGUAGAUGACAUUACUACUAAGGCAUGUAUGAUGGACAUUACAGGUGCCACAUGCAGUCAUAUAGCUGUAGGUAGUCCUUAUGUAGUUCGACUAGCUGAUACUUAUAGCGAUACAAGUAGAUUCUCAAAAUACAUAGAAAUGAGUGGAGACACAGCGCCUCUUGAUGUAGUUAGAAGUGAAAAUGACUCUGAAAGUUUCAGCAACCUGACUGCUUGCUCAGAUACUCACACUGAAAGUAUUUCAUCUAGUUUUACAAAGUCAACAGGAAAGUUGAUAGACAGUAUGUCAGAUUGUGCUUCCUCCCCUAUAAAGACGAUUGCUGGCAGUAAUUAUAACAGUUUUUUGGACUCUGAAAUACAUAUGUCAAAUGGGACAAAAGAACUUUCAGGGAGUGCCUUGGGCAAUGAUCUAGAUAUUACUGGUAAUGUAUCAGAGGCAUUACAUGAACUAAGAACUGCUAAAGAGUUCAAAACAAAAGAACAAGAUGACUCAGAGACUAUAGAAUUUGGUGUAUCAUUUCCUGUUAGAGCAUCAUCUAUGGAAACAUCUGUGGAACUAAAAUCAGCUGAAACUUCUUACAUAGCAGAAAGUACUGCUGCAGAGGAGAGCUGGGAAUCUAUGUUUAAUGAUGAUGGUGACUGUAUAGAUCCACGUCUUCUACAAGAGUUAUCAAGGAAUAUGAAGAACGAAGAAAGCAUCCAGGAAUCCAGAUUUGAUUAUUACAACCACGAAGUUCCUAAUAUUGACCUCAGUGAAUGUGAGUUCCCACAUGUCAUUGAAAUUUAUGACUUCCCCCAAGAAUUUCGUACAGAAGACCUUCUACGGGUUUUCUGCAGUUACCAAAAGAAAGGAUUUGAUAUUAAAUGGGUGGAUGAUACACAUGCUUUAGGAGUAUUCUCCAGUCCAAUCACAGCUCGUGAUGCUUUGAGUAUUAAACAUACCAUGGUGAAGAUCCGGCCCUUAUCGCAGGCCACAAGAGCAGCCAAGGCCAAAGCUAAAGCUUAUGCUGAAUUCCUUCAGCCACCUAAGGAGCGACCUGAAACCUCAGCAGCCCUAGCCAGAAGGUUAGUCAUCAGUGCCCUUGGGGUUCGAAGCAAACAGAGCAAAACAGAACGGGAAGCAGAGCUCAAGAAACUGCAAGAAGCCAGGGAUACUAUUUUCAGAUGUCAGGAUAGUGGAAAAUGUGCUGGUUAAGAAUAAGGACCUGGGUUCCAACUUCUGGCCUUUCACUAAUUAUGUAGCCUUAGGCAUGUCACAGCGAAAACGUUUGGAAGCCAAGCAACGAGAAGACAUCUGGGAAGGCAGAGAACAAUCUGCAGUUUGAACAUCAUUCAAUGAAAAGGAAAACUCCAUGAAUUCAAAAAGUAUUUCCAUUGCCUCAGAUAAGAGGAUCCUUCCAGAACUGUGUACAUGCAAACAUGCACGUUAAAGAAAGUGAAAAGGCUAUCAAGACAAAGAUUGACUAGGUAUAGAAAGAAGAUAGACUCUUGUCUUCACUCCUAAAUGCAGUUCUUUGUUAUUGCCCUACUGUGGUAGAUAUAAAAGGGAGCUGUCAACUGGGAAGAAACAUGGAACAUGCAACUUCCAAGAGUCCCCUGGACAAGACAAGUCAUGUUAGCAUGGAUCACACUUCCCAAAAUGUCUAAAGCAAAUGCAGAGCAGAACAGAGGAUUCAAAUCUGCAAUGAUGGGAGGUUUAGGCCCUGCAAAGGCAGAGCAUUCCUUAGUACCUUACAAAGCUGAAAACAGCAAUAUUGGAUGCAGGAAGAGGGGACAUAUAGGGAGCAAUUAAUACAGAUAGAACAGUGCUGUACUUGGCAUACAUUGACUCUAUACUGCCGGUCCCAGAACUCCAGAGUUGGUGAGCUUUCACAGAUGUGUGUAUAUGGAUCCAGAGUUGGUACUGAACUCCGUGCCUGGGGCUGCUCCAGUGCACAGCAACCAGGAACCUGAGAGCUUCUUUCCUCAAGCUAGUCUUAAGGAGUUGUGUGCCAUUUCUACUUUAAGCAGUAAUGUAUUGUAAGAGGGAAACAUUAAAGGUCAUUUUAUGACAUGUAUCACUA